rnacentral:rRNA from 1 species
AUUGAACGCUGGCGGCAGGCCUAACACAUGCAAGUCGAGCGAGCGGCGGACGGGUGAGUAAUGUCUGGGAAACUGCCUGUUGGAGGGGGAUAACUACUGGAAACGGUAGCUAAUACCGCAUACCAUCAGAUGUGCCCAGAUGGGAUUAGCUCGUAGGUGGGGUAACGGCUCACCUAGGCGACGAUCCCUAGCUGGUCUGAGAGGAUGACCAGCCACACUGGAACUGAGACACGGUCCAGACUCCUAAGGGAGGCAGCAGUGGGGAAUAUUGCACAAGGGGCGCAAGCCUGAUGCAGCCAUGCCGCGUGUGUGAAGAAGGCCUUCGGGUUGUAAAGCAAUUUCAGUGGGGAGGCGUUACCCGCAGAAGAAGCACCGGCUAACUCCGUGCCAGCAGCCGCGGUAAUAC